rnacentral:rRNA from 1 species
AGUGGCGGACGGGUGAGUAAUGCGUGAGAAUCUGCCUUGGGGUCGGGGACAACCACUGGAAACGGUGGCUAAUACCGGAUAAGCCGAUUGGUGAAAGAUUUAUUGCCCGAAGAGGAGCUCGCGUCUGAUUAGCUAGUUGGUGAGGUAAGAGCUCACCAAGGCAGCGAUCAGUAGCUGGUCUGAGAGGACGAUCAGCCACACUGGGACUGAGACACGGCCCAGACUCCUACGGGAGGCAGCAGUGGGGAAUUUUCCGCAAUGGGCGAAAGCCUGACGGAGCAAGACCGCGUGAGGGAGGAAGGCUCUUGGGUUGUAAACCUCUUUUCUCAGGGAAGAAGCUCUGACGGUACCUGAGGAAUCAGCCUCGGCUAACUCCGUGCCAGCAGCCGCGGUAAUACGGAGGAGGCAAGCGUUAUCCGGAAUUAUUGGGCGUAAAGCGUCCGCAGGUGGCGAUUCAAGUCUGCUGUCAAAGCACGGGGCUUAACUCCGUAAAGGCAGUGGAAACUGAAUAGCUAGAGUGCCGUAGGGGUAGAGGGAAUUCCCGGUGUAGCGGUGAAAUGCGUAGAGAUCGGGAAGAACAUCGGUGGCGAAAGCGCUCUACUGGACGGCAACUGACACUCAGGGACGAAAGCUAGGGGAGCGAAUGGGAUUAGAUACCCC